rnacentral:rRNA from 1 species
UACGGCGGAUGCGAGCGUUAUCCGGAUUUAUUGGGUUUAAAGGGUGCGUAGGCGGAUUUUUAAGUCAGCGGUAAAAUGUCCGGGCUCAACCCGGGCCGGCCGUUGAAACUGGGGAUCUUGAGUGGGCGAGAAGUAUGCGGAAUGCGUGGUGUAGCGGUGAAAUGCAUAGAUAUCACGCAGAACUCCGAUUGCGAAGGCAGCAUACCGGCGCCCGACUGACGCUGAGGCACGAAAGCGUGGGGAUCGAACAGG